rnacentral:miRNA from 1 species
AGAGAAUCUGUUGGAGUUGGAGAA